ACGCUCGACACCUACGGGAGGCGGCAGUGGGGAAUAUUGCACAAUGGGGGAAACCCUGAUGCAGCGACGCCGCGUGGAGGAAGAAGGUCUUCGGAUUGUAAACUCCUGUUGUUGGGGAAAAAGAGGAUGGUACCCAACAAGGAAGUGACGGCUAACUACGUGCCUGCAGCCGCGGUAAUCUGAGCGGGCUGGCAAGGC
rnacentral:rRNA from 1 species